GCCGCUACAGUAGUAGUAUAGGAAUUAUUGACUUAUUGUGGAAGCAAAUUUUGUUACGUAGGCCGCAAUGCUACUGUUUUGCUUUAUGAAUUAAAGCUAAUUAUAUUAUACACUUACCAAUCGCAAUACGAUUUUAAAUGAUGUUCAACGAAUGCCCACAAGAUCGACCUUCAAUUCCUAAAUAUAAACAGGUCACUUCGACCUAUAGUGUUGUGAAAUUAAUGAAAGAAACACAGCAAUAUAAUAUUCGAAUUCCCAAAAUUUAAUAACAUGCGACGACUUAGUAGCGACGACUGUA